rnacentral:rRNA from 1 species
AGAGUUUGAUCAUGGCUCAGAGCGAACGCUGGCGGCAUGCUUAACACAUGCAAGUCGCACGGGCAGGGGCAACUCUGUCAGUGGCGGACGGGUGAGUAACGCGUAGGUAUCUAUCUCUGGGUGGGGGAUAACCGUGGGAAACUACGGCUAAUACCGCAUGACACCUGAGGGUCAAAGGCGCGAGUCGCCUGGAGAGGAGCCUGCGUUCGAUUAGCUAGUUGGUGGGGUAAAGGCCUACCAAGGCGACGAUCGAUAGCUGGUCUGAGAGGAUGAUCAGCCACAUUGGGACUGAGACACGGCCCAAACUCCUACGGGAGGCAGCAGUGGGGAAUAUUGGACAAUGGGCGCAAGCCUGAUCCAGCAAUGCCGCGUGGGUGAAGAAGGUUUUCGGAUUGUAAAGCCCUUUUGGCGGGGACGAUGAUGACGGUACCCGCAGAAUAAGCCCCGGCUAACUUCGUGCCAGCAGCCGCGGUAAUACGAAGGGGGCUAGCGUUGCUCGGAAUGACUGGGCGUAAAGGGCGCGUAGGCGGCGGCCAAAGUCAGGCGUGAAAUUCCUGGGCUCAACCUGGGGGCUGCGUUUGAUACUUGGUUGCUUGAGUGGGGAAGAGGGUCGUGGAAUUCCCAGUGUAGAGGUGAAAUUCGUAGAUAUUGGGAAGAACACCGGUGGCGAAGGCGGCGACCUGGUCCUUUACUGACGCUGAGGCGCGAAAGCGUGGGGAGCAAACAGGAUUAGAUACCCUAGUAGUCC